rnacentral:rRNA from 1 species
GACGAACGCUGGCGGCGUGCCUAAUACAUGCAAGUUGAGCGCUGAAGGUUGGUACUUGUACCGACUGGAUGAGCAGCGAACGGGUGAGUAACGCGUGGGGAAUCUGCCUUUGAGCGGGGGACAACAUUUGGAAACGAAUGCUAAUACCGCAUAAAAACUUUAAACACAAGUUUUAAGUUUGAAAGAUGCAAUUGCAUCACUCAAAGAUGAUCCCGCGUUGUAUUAGCUAGUUGGUGAGGUAAAGGCUCACCAAGGCGAUGUUACAUAGCCGACCUGAGAGGGUGGUCGGCCACCUUGGGACUGAGACAGGGCCCAAACUCCUACGGGAGGCAGCAGUAGGGAAUCUUCGGCCAUGGACGAAAGUCUGACCGAGCAACGCCGCGUGAGUGAAGAGGGUUUUCGGAUCGUAAAACUCUGUUGGUAGGGAAGAACGUUGGUGAGAGUGGAAAGCUCAUCAAGUGACGGUAACUACCCAGAAAGGGACGGCUAACUACGUG